rnacentral:rRNA from 1 species
GGCUCAGGAUGAACGCUGGCGGCGUGCCUAACACAUGCAAGUCGAACGAAACUGAUUCAUGAAACUUCGGUAGAUUGGAUGAAAGUUGAGUGGCGGACGGGUGAGUAACACGUGGGCAACCUGCCUCACAGAGGGGGGAUAGCAGUUGGAAACGACUGAUAAUACCGCAUAAGCACACAGUACCGCAUGGUACAGGGUGAAAAGAUUUAUCACUGUGAGAUGGACCCGCGUCUGAUUAGCCAGUUGGCAGGGUAACGGCCUACCAAAGCGACGAUCAGUAGCCGACCUGAGAGGGUGACCGGCCACAUUGGGACUGAGACACGGCCCAGACUCCUACGGGAGGCAGCAGUGGGGAAUAUUGCACAAUGGGGGAAACCCUGAUGCAGCGACGCCGCGUGGAGGAAGAAGGUCUUCGGAUUGUAAACUCCUGUUGUUGAGGAAGAUAAUGACGGUACUCAACAAGGAAGUGACGGCUAACUACGUG